rnacentral:rRNA from 1 species
UGUGCCUACGGGAGGCAGCAGUGAGGAAUAUUGGUCAAUGGGAGAGAUCCUGAACCAGCCAAGCCGCGUGAGUGAAGAAGGCCUUCGGGUCGUAAAGCUCUGUUGCGGGGGAAAAAAGGCAGCAUCAGGAAAUGGGUGCUGACUGAUGGUGCCCCGCCAGAAAGUCACGGCUAACUACGUGCCAGCAGCCGCGGUAAUACGUAGGUGGCGAGCGCUAUCCGGAAUGAUUGGGCGUAAAGGGUGCGUAGGCGGCCUGCUAAGUCUGGAGUGAAAGGUACCGGCUCAACCGGUACAGGCUCUGGAAA